rnacentral:rRNA from 1 species
AUUGAACGCUGGCGGCAGGCCUAACACAUGCAAGUCGAACGGUAACAGGAAGAAGCUUGCUUCUUUGCUGACGAGUGGCGGACGGGUGAGUCAUGUCUGGGAAACUGCCUGAUGGAGGGGGAUAACUACUGGAAACGGUAGCUAAUACCGCAUAACGUCGCAAGACCAAAGAGGGGGACCUUCUGGCCUCUUGCCAUCGGAUGUGCCCAGAUGGGAUUAGCUAGUAGGUGGGGUAACGGCCCACCUAGGCGACGAUCCCUAGCUGGUCUGAGAGGAUGACCAGCCACACUGGAACUGAGACACGGUCCAGACUCCUACGGGAGGCAGCAGUGGGGAAUAUUGCACAAUGGGCGCAAGCCUGAUGCAGCCAUGCCGCGUGUAUGAAGAAGGCCUUCGGGUUGUAAAGUACUUUCAGCGGGGAGGAAGGGAGUAAAGUUAAUACCUUUGCUCAUUGACGUUACCCGCAGAAGAAGCACCGGCUAACUCCGUG